rnacentral:rRNA from 1 species
AUUGAACGCUGGCGGCAGGCCUAACACAUGCAAGUCGAACGGUAGCACAGGAGAGCUUGCUCUCUGGGUGACGAGUGGCGGACGGGUGAGUAAUGCAUGGGGAGCUGCCCAAUCGAGGGGGAUACCAGCUGGAAACGGCUGCUAAUACCGCAUACGCCCUGAGGGGGAAAGGUGGGGACCUUCGGGCCUACCGCGAUUGGAUGCACCCAUGUGGGAUUAGCUAGUUGGUGAGGUAACGGCUCACCAAGGCGACGAUCUCUAGCUGGGCUGAGAGGAGGACCAGCCACGCAGGAACUGAGACACGGUCCAGACUCCCACGGGAGGCAGCAGUGGGGAAUAUUGCACAAUGGGGGAAACCCUGAUGCAGCCAUGCCGCGUGUGUGAAGAAGGCCUUCGGGUUGUAAAGCACUUUCAGUGGGGAGGAAGGGUUGAUGUCUAAUACGCAUCAGCAUUGACGUUACCCACAGAAGAAGCACCGGCUAACUCCGUGCCAGCCGCCGCCGUAA